rnacentral:rRNA from 1 species
CAGCCGCCACGGGAAUACGAAGGGGGCUAGCGUUGCUCGGAAUGACUGGGCGUAAAGGGCGCGUAGGCGGAUUGUUUAGUUAGGCGUGAAAUUCCUGGGCUUAACCUGGGGACUGCGCUUAAUACAGGCAGUCUAGAGUGAGGAAGAGGGUUGUGGAAUUCCCAGUGUAGAGGUGAAAUUCGUAGAUAUUGGGAAGAACACCGGUGGCGAAGGCGGCAACCUGGUCCUUGACUGACGCUGAGGCGCGAAAGCGUGGGGAGCAAACAGGAUUAGAUACCCCUGUAGUCCCUGUCUCUUAUAC